rfam:Sporosarcina psychrophila strain DSM 6497, complete genome.
UACAAGCUGCGUUGUGCGUAUAAAUAUUAAGUUUUAACCCUUAAGCUGUAAUCGGGAGUUUUACCUAGAUACAGGAAUGGCAUACCCAGUUCUUUCGAUAACUGGGGCAUACAGGAUUGUUUCUGCGAACACCCACUUUGAGAAGUGGUGGUUUAAAACUUUCUAAGACCAUACGGCAAAGGCGGCUGUUAU